rnacentral:rRNA from 1 species
UACGAAGGGGGCUAGCGUUGUUCGGAAUCACUGGGCGUAAAGCGCACGUAGGCGGCUCUUUAAGUCAGGGGUGAAAUCCCGAGGCUCAACCUCGGAACUGCCUUUGAUACUGGGGAUCUCGAGUCCGGGAGAGGUGAGUGGAACUGCGAGUGUAGAGGUGAAAUUCGUAGAUAUUCGCAAGAACACCAGUGGCGAAGGCGGCUCACUGGCCCGGAACUGACGCUGAGGCGCGAAAGCGUGGGGAGCAAACAGG